ensembl:piRNA 21ur-6071 ncRNA
UUCUUUGUAGUUUUCUUAGAA